GACGAACGCUGGCGGCGUGCUUAACACAUGCAAGUCGAACGGAAAGGCGCUGCGUUUGUGGGGUGGUCGAGAGGCGAACGGGGGAGUAAAACGUGAGGAAACUGCACUUGACAGAGGGAGAAAUUCAGGAAAAAGGGGAGAAUACAGGAGAGGAGCUACUGAAGCAUGGUGGGGGUUGGAAAGAGACGGCGGUGGGGGAUGGAUUCGAGGCUUAUCAGCUUGAUGGGGGGGUAGUGGAUGAAAAAGGCUUUGACGGGUAGGCUGCCUUAGAGGGUGACCGGCCUCAUUGGGCCUGCGAUACGCCCCAGACUCCUACCUUACGCAGUAGUGGGGAACAUUGCGCAAUGGGCCGAAGCCUGAUGCAGCAACGCCGCGUGCGGGAUGAUGGGCUUCGGGUUGUAAACCGCUUUCGCCUUUACCGAAGCCUGAGUGACGGUAAUGGGUCAAGAAGCACCGGCUAACUACGUG
rnacentral:rRNA from 1 species